GACGAACGUUGGCGGCGUGCUUAAUACAUGCAAGUCUACUGAAGCAGUGGUAGCAAUAUCGCUGUGGAGGUGGCGCACGGGUGAGUAACACGUAGGUAAUCUGCCUUCAGGUCUGGCCUAACUCCGGGAAACCGGGGCUAAUAGCAGAUGAUGCAGCGGCUCGACAUCGAGACAGUUGUUAAAGCUAUGGCGCCUGAAGAUGAGCCUGCGUCUGAUUAGCUAGUUGGCGGGGUAACGGCCCACCAAGGUAACGAUCAGUACAUGGUCUGAGAGGAUGAUCAGCCACACUGGAACUGAGACACGGUCCAGACUCCUACGGGAGGCAGCAGUAAGGAAUAUUGCUCAAUGGGAGAAAUCCUGAAGCAGCAACGCCGCGUGAGGGACGAAGGGCUUUUGCUUGUAAACCUCUGUAGUGAGAGAAAAAAAUCCCAAUCUUUGGGACAUGAUGGUAUCUCAAAAGUAAGCCCCGGCUAACUACGUG
rnacentral:rRNA from 1 species